CUUUCAACCAAGCCGUCCGCCAGGAAUUCAUUUUGAUAGGCAUGUCUUGCGGGGAGGAAUGACAACUGAAUUAGAAUUUUUUCGUCUCUUCUUCACCACCGAGAUGAUAAAAUCAGUUGUUGCCCACACCAACAGCUAUGCAUUCAUGAAACUUGUAGCUGGGGGGUUCACCACAUACACCACUGGGGAGGGGGCCUGGAAAACAACUACUGAAGAUGAAAU
rnacentral:lncRNA from 1 species